UGAAGCGAAGAAGUGGAGUUCGUCUCUCCCCUUCAUUCUGCGGCUGCUUUGCAACGACUGGGCUUCAAAAUCUCUGAAACGUUCCGAGUUUGUAGCUUUUUCCUUUAUUUUUAUUUACGUUCAGCUAAUAAAAAGAUCUUCCCUGCUAAAGUAAAAUCGCAAACUAGGGUUCAUCUUUUUUUUUUUUAAUGUCUACACCAACAAUGGAGUUUGGGGAUGACGACUGAGACAAAACGUCAUGGAGAAUCUCGGUGUCUAGGUUCGAGAUAACGAUUCGUUUUUGGUUCUUAUCCUUGAAGACGUUACGAGCUGUCCAGACUCAUCACCUUUAAGAAACCUCUUUACUCCAUGGACAGCACAUCAAGCCCGAUCUGACAUUCAAUGCUGCUUAUUCCUCUUCUAGGCGGUGUUUUCUCUUAUAUAAAGUGUUCUUUCACAGUUGAGGUACGACUUCUCCGGUCUUGGAAGGCGAGGAACAUGAAAAGCUGUGGCAAGUUGAUGGGUGUGGCGACUUAUUACGUUCUUUAAACUCAUGAUCAUUAAAACUAUUCCAGCGUUUUAACUUAAAUUAUCAAGCUAUUGUGUUCAUAUCUUUAUUGAACCUCUUUUGAAUGAGAAAAGUUGGUUGAUUACCUUUCUAUCUUCUUCUCUCUCAGUAUAGAUCAACAUCAAACCGGAGUCAUCACCACCACGAGUUACGCCGGAGCAGGAUCCAGUGUCGGUCGUUGCCAACCGAAGAUCUUGAACAUCAUGUGAUGUUGGACGAGGAUUUAGUAGACCGUUCUUGAGUCAGGUGACAGAGACCGCUCCUGGGAUUCUAGACUUCUCACUUCAGUGGAAAUAAUACAAAGAGAUGAUG